AGUGAACGCUGGCGGUAGGCCUAACACAUGCAAGUCGAACGGCAGCACAGUAAGAGCUUGCUCUUACGGGUGGCGAGUGGCGGACGGGUGAGGAAUACAUCGGAAUCUACUUUUUCGUGGGGGAUAACGUAGGGAAACUUACGCUAAUACCUCAUACGACUUACGGGUGAAAGCAGGGGAUCUUCGGACCUUGCGCGAUUGAAUGAGCCGAGGUCGGAUUAGCUAGUUGGCUGGGUAAAGGCCCACCAAGGCGACGAUCCGUAGCUGGUCUGAGAGGAUGAUCAGCCACACUGGAACUGAGACACGGUCCAGACUCCUACGGGAGGCAGCAGUGGGGAAUAUUGGACAAUGGGCGCAAGCCUGAUCCAGCCAUACCGCGUGGGUGAAGAAGGCCUUCGGGUUGUAAAGCCCUUUUGUUGGGAAAGAAAAGCAGCAGGUUAAUACCCCGCUGUUCUGACGGUACCCAAAGAAUAAGCACCGGCUAACUUCGUG
rnacentral:rRNA from 1 species